UACGUAGGGCGCAAGCGUUAUCCGGAAUUAUUGGGCGUAAAGAGCUCGUAGGCGGUUUGUCGCGUCUGCCGUGAAAGUCCGGGGCUCAACUCCGGAUCUGCGGUGGGUACGGGCAGACUAGAGUGAUGUAGGGGAGACUGGAAUUCCUGGUGUAGCGGUGGAAUGCGCAGAUAUCAGGAGGAACACCGAUGGCGAAGGCAGGUCUCUGGGCAUUAACUGACGCUGAGGAGCGAAAGCAUGGGGAGCGAACAGG
rnacentral:rRNA from 1 species